CGGCCGCGUCGACAUUAGAUACCCCAGUAGUCCUAGCCGUAAACGAUGGAUACUAGGUGUUGUCUGUAUCGACCGAGUCGUGGGACGGCAAGGACCACUAACAGGGGGACCUACGGNGGAUAGCAGCAAGUGUGAAAACUCAAAGGAAUUUGACGGGGGGGGCCCCGCACAAAGCGGUGGGAGUAUGUGGUUUAAUUCGAUGCAACGCGAAGAACCUUACCAGGACUUGACAUGUCGCGCACUCUAGCGUACGUGUACCGACUGUCUAGUCUACGGUAAGGUUACGUUCGUACGUUUCGUAGUUACGGUAAUUUAACGUAACUAACUAACUACCUACCGUACUUACCGUCGUCCGGGUCCCGUAACCCGGUAACGUACCGGUACGUACGUUACGGUACGUUAGGUACGUUCGUAAGUUCGUACGAACGUCGGUCGGUAGGUCGAGGACGACGACGACGGAGUAGGCGACAG
rnacentral:rRNA from 1 species